rnacentral:lncRNA from 1 species
GGAAGGAAUAGGAAGGUUUGGGCUGGAGUGGAAGAACACAAAAACUUACCAGUUCAGUUAGAUUACGUUUGAGAACACAAAUCAACUGCAGGAUAUGACUGACACUGCCCAAUGUAACAGUCAGCAUGAUUUAACUCUCACUAUUCCUGUAGCCUAUAAUUUUAACCAUAUAGCCCGUAACAGUCCACAAAUGACAUAACUCAAGGAACAUACCCACGUACAAUUGCAGUAGAACAGUCCCUUCAUUCAUCUACAAGACUGCUGUGCUUCCUUGAGAUACAAGAGGUGCAGAGACUUCAUAUGUGUGAAAGCUAAAAGGUUGCCAUAACAGAGCACAGGUGUGGGACUGCCCUACACACUCUGCACCAGCACAAGUCUGCUACCAGCCUGUGAGCCAGAAAUAAAGCUUACAGCAAAGUCCUCAGCAACUCAUCACAUAAGAGGGAGAUCAGGGGAGGAAGCACUGCUGAACAUGAGGCUCUAUGAAUUGUAUAAGUAUCUGAAAGGUGCUUACAGCCAGAGUGGGGCUGGUCUCUUCUCACUGGUGACAGGUGACAGGAUGAGGGGAAAUGACCUCACAUUGCUCCAGGCUCUUCUAUUGGAGGAGACAGUGAAGCUUCAGUCUAUGUCUGCCCUUUUGGAAACUCUCUGGAUAUUUGGAAACUUCAGUUCUAUUGCACAGUGGGACACCUCCUUGCUGGCGGAAGAGUCUAAGCUGUCCUUUUGGAGGAAAGUGCUUCUG